GAGUUUGAUCCUGGCUCAGGGACGAACGCUGGGCGGCGUGCUUAACACAUGCAAGUCGAGCGGGUAAGGCCUUUCGGGGUACACGAGCGGCGAACGGGUGAGUAACACGUGGGUGAUCUGCCCUGCACUUCGGGAUAAGCCUGGGAAACUGGGUCUAAUACCGGAUAUGACCUCAKGUUGCAUGACUUGGGGUGGAAAGAUUUAUCGGUGCAGGAUGGGCCCGCGGCCUAUCAGCUUGUUGGUGGGGUAAUGGCCUACCAAGGCGACGACGGGUAGCCGACCUGAGAGGGUGACCGGCCACACUGGGACUGAGACACGGCCCAGACUCCUACGGGAGGCAGCAGUGGGGAAUAUUGCACAAUGGGCGAAAGCCUGAUGCAGCGACGCCGCGUGAGGGAUGACGGC
rnacentral:rRNA from 1 species